rnacentral:rRNA from 1 species
UCAGAUUGAACGCUGGCGGCAGGCCUAACACAUGCAAGUCGAACGGUAGCACAGAGAGCUUGCUCUCGGGUGACGAGUGGCGGACGGGUGAGUAAUGUCUGGGAAACUGCCCGAUGGAGGGGGAUAACUACUGGAAACGGUAGCUAAUACCGCAUAACGUCGCAAGACCAAAGAGGGGGACCUUAGGGCCUCUUGCCAUCGGAUGUGCCCAGAUGGGAUUAGCUUGUAGGUGAGGUAACGGCUCACCUAGGCGACGAUCCCUAGCUGGUCUGAGAGGAUGACCAGCCACACUGGAACUGAGACACGGUCCAGACUCCUACGGGAGGCAGCAGUGGGGAAUAUUGCACAAUGGGCGCAAGCCUGAUGCAGCCAUGCCGCGUGUAUGAAGAAGGCCUUCGGGUUGUAAAGUACUUUCAGCGGGGAGGAAGGGAGUGAGGUUAAUAACC